GCCAGACUCCUACGGGAGGCAGCAGUGGGGAAUAUUGGGCAAUGGGCGCAAGCCUGACCCAGCAACGCCGCGUGAAGGAAGAAGGCUUUCGGGUUGUAAACUUCUUUUAAGAGGGAAGAGUAGAAGACGGUACCUCUUGAAUAAGCCACGGCUAACUACGUGCCAGCAGCCGCGGUAAUACGUAGGGAGCAAGCGUUGUCCGGAAUUACUGGGUGUAAAGGGAGCGUAGGCGGGAUGGCAAGUUGGGUGUUAAAUCUACCGGCUCAACUGGUAGUCGCACUCAAAACUGCUAUUCUUGAGUGAAGUAGAGGCAGGCGGAAUUCCUAGUGUAGCGGUGAAAUGCGUAGAUAUUAGGAGGAACACCAGUGGCGAAGGCGGCUUACUGGACAGUAACUGACGUUGAGGCUCGAAAGCGUGGGGAGCAAACAGGAUUAGAUACCCCCGUA
rnacentral:rRNA from 1 species